rnacentral:snoRNA from 1 species
GGCCGGUGAUGUAAUCAAAAUAUUUGCUACUCUUGAUGAAGAAUUUCUUCAGUUGAUGAUAUUUACCACCAAGAUCUCUGAGGCCUUU